UACAGAGGUCUCAAGCGUUGUUCGGAUUCAUUGGGCGUAAAGGGUGCGUAGGCGGCGCGGUAAGUCGGGUGUGAAAUCUUGGAGCUUAACUCCGAAACUGCAUUCGAUACUGCCGUGCUUGAGGACUGGAGAGGAGACUGGAAUUUACGGUGUAGCGGUGAAAUGCGUAGAUAUCGUAAGGAAGACCAGUGGCGAAGGCGGGUCUCUGGACAGUACCUGACACUGAGGCCCGAAGGCCAGGGGAGCAAACGGG
rnacentral:rRNA from 1 species